GGCCCCGUAGUUCAAUGGAUAGAACGGAAGUUUCUAAACUUUAGAUGCAGGUUCGAUUCCUGCCGGGGUCA
rnacentral:tRNA from 1 species